rnacentral:rRNA from 1 species
AGUGGCAGACGGGUGAGUAACACGUGGGAACCUACCUAGGGGUACGGAAUAACUCGGGGAAACUCGUGCUAAUACCGUAUACGACCUUCGGGUGAAAGAUUUAUCGCCCCUAGAUGGGCCCGCGCUGGAUUAGCUAGUUGGUGGGGUAAAAGCCUACCAAGGCUACGAUCCAUAGCUGGUCUGAGAGGAUGAUCAGCCACACUGGGACUGAGACACGGCCCAGACUCCUACGGGAGGCAGCAGUGGGGAAUCUUGGACAAUGGGGGAAACCCUGAUCCAGCCAUGCCGCGUGAGUGAUGAAGGCCUUAGGGUUGUAAAGCUCUUUCGCCAGGGAAGAUAAUGACGGUACCUGGAUAAGAAGCCCCGGCUAACUCCGUGCCAGCAGCCGCGGUAAUACGGAGGGGGCUAGCGUUGUUCGGAAUUACUGGGCGUAAAGCGCACGUAGGCGGCUAUCCAAGUUGGGGGUGAAAUCCCUGGGCUUAACCCAGGAACUGCCUUCAAAACUGGAUGGCUAGAGUCCGAGAGAGGUGAGUGGAAUUUCCAGUGUAGAGGUGAAAUUCGUAGAUAUUGGAAAGAACACCAGUGGCGAAGGCGGCUCACUGGCUCGGUACUGACGCUGAGGUGCGACAGCGUGGGGAGCAAAC